UACGAAGGGUGCAAGCGUUACUCGGAAUUACUGGGCGUAAAGCGUGCGUAGGUGGUUUGUUAAGUCUGUUGUGAAAGCCCCGGGCUCAACCUGGGAAUGGCAAUGGAUACUGGCAAGCUAGAGUGCAGAAGGGGCAACUGGAAUUCUCGGUGUAGCGGUGAAAUGCGUAGAUAUCGAGAGGAACACCUGCGGCGAAGGCGGGUUGCUGGGCUGGCACUGACGCUGAUGCGCGAAAGCCAGGGGAGCGAACGGG
rnacentral:rRNA from 1 species